rnacentral:rRNA from 1 species
AAAUUGUUUAACUAUGGCAAAAAGAAGUUAUUUGACACGUUAACUGCAUAAAAUUGUUAUAAUAUAGUUGCAUAAUUUUAAUUAAAUUACGUGUAUUAGCAGUUAGUAUUUUAUUAAAAUGUAAAUUCUUUAAGAAUGUGUCAUUCAAAGGGGAUAGGACACAGUGCCAGCAUCCGCGGUUAAUCUGUUUUCUUUGCUUUUAUAUAACUAAAAAUUAGAUGGUUAAAGACAAGGUUAGGUGAAAUUUUCUUGUGUUAAUAUUUAUCAUUUAUUUAAUAAGAAAUAGUAUUAUAUGACAGGGAUUAGAUACCCCAUUAAUAUGCUAUGUUAAUAUAGUUUAGUUUUAUAACUAAAAUAGUUUGGCAGUGAGUUACUCCUGUUGGGGGAAGGUGUGUUGUAAAGGACGAUCCGCCUAAUAUUUUACUUUGAUUAUGUUGGUGUAUAUCUGGUUGCAUAUUACUGCUGAAUAGCUGAAUUUGUGUAUUUAAAAUUUAAGCCAAGUCUAUGUGCUGCAUAUCAAAGUCCUUCAUGCGUUACUCUUAUAAAUAACAUAAUGAGAGUUGUGUUAAUUUAGGACUCAAAAGUAAUGUAAGAUUAGUUUGCUUAUGUGAAAAGGGUUUAACUCAGGUACACACCGCCGUCACCCUCGA